GGAGAGAUGUCCGAGCGGUUGAAGGAGCACGCCUGGAAAGCGUGUAGGCUGAAAGGUCUCGUGGGUUCGAACCCCACUCUCUCCGCCA
rnacentral:tRNA from 1 species